AAUUCGAUUAGAGUUUGAUCAUGGCUCAGAACGUACGCUGGCGGCACGCCUAACACAUGCAAGUCGAACGCAGUAGCAAUACUGAGCGGCAAACGGGUGAGUAUAAUGUGGGAAUCUGCCUUUUGGUUUGGAAUAACACGAGGAAACUUGUGCUAAUACCGGAUAAGCCUUCACAGGGAAAGUUUUAACGCCGAAAGAUGAGCCCGCACUUGAUUAGCUAGUUGGUGAGGUAAAAGCUCACCAAGGCAACGAUCAAUAGCUGUUCUUAGAGGAAGACCAGCCACAUUGGGACUGAGACACGGCCCAGACUCCUACGGGAGGCAGCAGUGGGGAAUCUUGCACAAUGGGGGAAACCCUGAUGCAGCGAUGCCGCGUGAGUGAAGAAGGCCCUUGGGUUGUAAAACUCUUUCGUCGGGGAAGAAAAUGACUGUACCCGAAUAAGAAGGUCCGGCUAACUUCGUGCCAGCAGCCGCGGUAAUACGAAGGGACCUAGCGUAGUCCGGAAUUACUGGGCUUAAAGAGUUCGUAGGUGGUUAAAAAAGUUGGUGGUGAAAGCCCAGAGCUUAACUCUGGAACGGCCAUCAAAACUUUUUAGCUAGAGUAUGAUAGAGGAAAGCAGAAUUUCUAGUGUAGAGGUGAAAUUCGUAGAUAUUAGAAAGAAUACCGAUUGCGAAGGCAGCUUUCUGGAUCAUUACUGACACUGAGGAACGAAAGCAUGGGUAGCGAAGAGGAUUAGAUACCCUCGUAGUCCAUGCCGUAAACGAUGUGUGUUAGACGUUGGAAAUUUAUUUUCAGUGUCGCAGCGAAAGCGAUAAACACACCGCCUGGGGAGUACGACCGCAAGGUUAAAACUCAAAUGAAUUGACGGGGACCCGCACAAGUAGUGGAGCAUGUGGUUUAAUUCGAAGAUACGCGCAGAACCUUACCGACACUUGACAUGUUCGUCGCGACUUUAAGAGAUUAAAGUUUUCGGUUCGGCCGGACGAAACACAGGUGCUGCAUGGCUGUCGUCAGCUCGUGUCGUGAGAUGUUGGGUUAAGUCCCGCAACGAGCGCAACCCUCACUUUUAGUUGCCAUCAUUAAGUUGGGCACUCUGAAAGAACUGCCAGUGAUAAGCUGGAGGAAGGUGGGGAUGACGUCAAGUCCUCAUGGCCCUUACGUGUUGGGCUACACACGUGCUACAAUGGUAUUUACAACAGGAAGCAAGACGGCGACGUUAAGCAAAUCCUAAAAAAAUACCUCAGUUCGGAUUGCACUCUGCAACUCGAGUGCAUGAAGCUGGAAUUACUAGUAAUCGUGGAUCAGCGUGCCACGGUGAAUGCGUUCCCGGGUCUUGUAGA
rnacentral:rRNA from 1 species